rnacentral:tRNA from 1 species
CGGAGUGUAGCUCAUUGAUAGAGCACUUGCCUAGCAUGCGUAAGGUGCUGGGUACAAUCCCCAGCACUGCAA